rnacentral:siRNA from 1 species
UGGUCUAGGUUACAUGUCAAACUC